CUACAUAUCAUAUAUAAAAUUCAAGGUAAAAUCUCAGACAAAGACGCUAGAAAAUGUAAAUAUUGGUAUUAAUUUUUUUAAAAAUAAAAUUCAUUAAAAAGAAGGUUUAAAAAAUUAUCUGCAUGCAUUUAUUAUGUAUUACAGGGAAAAAUGCUUCCUCUGAGUUUUACGGUUUAAAAUUAUAGUAAUUCUUUUUUUUAUUUCUAAAUUUAUACAUAUAUUUGAUACUGAAUGCAACAUUUUUUUGUGGAGAACAGAAAAUAACAAAUGACAAGAACAAAUAUAAAUGAAUUUUAAUAUGCCGUUCAUGGCGAAUUUUAAGUGUUAUUAGCUCUACAUUUUGUAUUAAAAAAAAACAACAACAAAAAACAGUCAAACAGCCGAUUCAGGAAUAGUAAAUUGAGAUUAUUUUUGUAAUAAGUUUAUUUCUAGUGACAAUCGUAUAAAGUAUAAAGUCUCAUUAUUAUUGUCUUGCUAUAGUAUUUUAUAAUAAAAUCAACAACAUAUUUG
rnacentral:misc_RNA from 1 species